CUGCAACGCCUAGAAACUGAAGUGCACAUGCCACAUGUACAGCCCAGGAACAGCAAUGCGGCGUCUCCACACUGCCUUAGCUUUGCUCUGAAGGAACCAUCCCUCAAGGUGAUAGGACAGCUCAGUCUCCAUGGCCCAUUCAUUCUUUGGUCACU
rnacentral:sRNA from 1 species